rnacentral:rRNA from 1 species
CGCGUAGGCGGGAUGGUAAGUCGGUCGUGAAAUCCCUCGGCUCAACCGAGGAACGUCGAUCGAUACUACCGUUCUUGAGGAUUGCAGAGGAGACUGGAAUUCCCGGUGUAGCGGUGAAAUGUGUAGAGAUCGGGAGGAACACCGGUGGCGAAGGCGGGUCUCUGGGCAAUUCCUGACGCUGAGGCGCGAAAGCGUGGGAGCAAACG